rnacentral:rRNA from 1 species
GUCCACGCCGUAAACUAUGAGUGCUAGUUGUUGGGGGGUUAACCCUUCAGUGACGUAGCUAACGCGUUAAGCACUCCGCCUGGGGAGUACGGUCGCAAGAUUAAAACUCAAAGGAAUUGACGGGGGCCCGCACAAGCGGUGGAGCAUGUGGUUCAAUUCGAAGCAACGCGAAGAACCUUACCGGCCCUUGACAUGGGUGUCGCGAGUCCCAGAGACGGGACUCUUCAGUUCGGCUGGACACCACACAGGUGCUGCAUGGCUGUCGU